GCCGGGCAUGGUGACGCAUGCCUGUAAUCCUAGCUACUCGGGAGGCUGAGGCAGGAGUAUGGCUUGAACCUGGGAGGCGGAGGUUGCAGUGAGCCAAGAUCGUGCCACAGCACUCUAGCCUGGGUGACAGAGCGAGACUCUGUCUCAG
rnacentral:SRP_RNA from 1 species